rnacentral:rRNA from 1 species
GACGAACCUUGCUAACGUUAUUCGGAAUUACUGGGCUUAAAGGGUGCGUAGGCGGUGCAGCAAGUCGGGUGUGAAAUCCCUCGGCCCAACCGAGGAAUUGCGCUCAAAACUACUGAGCUUGAGGGGUAUAGAGGUAAGCGGAACUGAUGGUGGAGCGGUGAAAUGCGUUGAUAUCAUCAGGAACACCGGUGGCGAAGGCGGCUUACUGGGUACCUCCUGACGCUGAGGAACGAAAGCUAGGGGAGCGAACGGG